UGGAAACAACAAUAGGAAACGAAGAGAAUAAAGGAAAAUCGAAUAGGUAGACAAUGACUCAGAAACACAAAUAGAAGCCGGAGGGCGGAGACCUCAUUGGUCAAACCGGCCGUCGGCAUCGAAUAUCUCUUUAUUUUGCUCAAUCGCCAAAUCCAACGAUUGGAAUGCGAACAAGGUCCAUCACUUUCUGAUCAAAGUCAGUUCAAUUUCACUUGCAUUUAUACAUGUUCAUUUUCGGAUUUUGAACAGUUAAACUCAAUGAAUUGGUGGCAGUUGCAGAUUAAAAUAUUGAUACGUCUUUCAUCAGAACUGUGAUCAUGUAAAACAAGACGAAUAUUGCUGAAAUUAAGCUGGCGGAUUAAGUCUUUCCCUCACAAUAGUUACUUGAAGUUUUUCUUAGGUAAAUUUUCGGCUAAACAUCUCUAAGCGGAGGGUAUAGUUCUUAGAAGUUACAGUUCAAGUUAUUGUUUCACGGGUUCAAAUCUGAAUUGCUUUCUACUACUUUUGGUAUACUUAAACCUAUCUUGCUCGCCUAUUAACCAUGUGAAGCAAAAAAAAUAAAAAAUGGUAAUUGUGCUCCAAGAUGCAUUGCUAAUUUAUGCUCUUCUUAAUCUAGUUGAUGAGUCAAUGUUUCAAUAACAGAUUCUCUUCUGAUAACUGUGUUGUGCGUACUUUCGAAAAUGAUGUCGUACCCGUAUCGGAUCCUCCAAAAAUACACUAUUUUGGAGGAUCCGACAAACACCCGGCAAUAUUUUCGGAGAGUCCGGACAACAUAGUCUGAUAAUGGGUACCUGAUGUUAGAGACUCUUUCGAUAGUCUGGUAAUAGUGGUGAGUGCAGUGGAUAUAUGCUUACUAUCUGUUUGAAGAAAGCUGGGUUGACAAUUCAAGGUCUAAGAAUCAAUAUGCUCUGUUAACACUUAGCAGCUGAACACUUUGUAGUAUUACCGUUACCCUCGUGGAACUUAUGCCAUAUUGCUCAUUCCUUAUGCUGAGCUAUAUUCUUGCUUUAAAAUAUCAUUUGCUCUUUUUACCUUUUUUGGUCAGGAGCAGGAUACUGGGGACAACUUUUUUCUUUGACUGUCUAGGAAUAUGGACAAAACACAUGCAUCUGAAAACUCGCAAAUGCCUUUUGUAGUUCUGUCUCAGUAAGAAGUUUGUAAGGUGUCACGAAAGUAUUUCUUGUGUAUAACAAUAGCAAAACUGUGAAUUCAAGCUAGCAAGUCGGAUUUUGUUAAAAGCACUCUUUGACACACUUGACAUAGUAACAACAUUAAGAAACGAGGUCCCACAGACUGAAGGGAUAUAAUUACUGAAUGGAUACGAUUGUGGCUAACACCUGAACCAUAGAAGGAGCAUUUUCUAUGAGAGUACGAAACCACUAGCCAUUUGACCUAAUUCAUGACAAGCUUACCAUGAGAGGGUGGAACGCUGGAGAAUGAUUCAAAUUCCUACAGGCCAAGGGAUUAGUUGAAUGCAUAAAUUAUGCAGGUACUUUUCUUUGUUAUUUACCAUUCUUCCUCUCUGUUUUUCGCACUUGUCAUUAAGUUUCCUCGCCAAUUCAAUGUUAGAACAACAAAGUUGGAUCUUAGAAAUGCUUAGUAAUUCAUGCUGAAGUAAUGGUAUACAAUAUUAGUAUCUUAGUUAGGAUCAGAUUUCGGAAAGAAGUUUGACCAUGUUUGGUCGUGGAGAACAUUUUGCCAAUAGAGGCUGAACCUUUGGUGAAAGUGUGAAUCCAGUGCCUUCAUUCAUAUCGAUGGACCCCCUGUUAGGCUUUUCCCACUCAAAGCAUUGAAGAAGUGAACCCAGUGCCAAUCCAAUGACAUGAAAUGCUAGGUUCUCACCUGGGCAACCCCUCCUUCCUGAUCCAAACGGGAUAAACUUGCAGCCCUCUUUGAUACCUUCAAAGCCUAUAAAUCUAUCAGGAUUGAACUUUUCUGGGUCCUCCCAUAUCUUAGGGUCAUGAUGUAUGCCCCAUGCAUUCACUAAUAGAACUGUUCCACGCGGAACUCGAUACCCUGCAACCUUGCACUCUUCUGAUGAAAAGUGAGGCACAAGUAAAGGGGCUGCUGGAUGCAUUCGCAGUGUCUCGUUGAUGAUGCAUCGGAUGUAAGGAAGUUGAGCCAAAUCGGAUUCAUCAAUUAGGUGGUCUUGUCCAACGUGACUGUCAAUUUCAGCCUGUGCCUUCUUUAAAAUUUCUGGAUUGUCAAGUAAGUGUGAACAAGCCCAUUCUAGUGUUACAGCUGAAGUGUCUGAUCCAGCUUGGAGUAGGACCUGCAUGCAUAAGAAACAAAUUGUAUAAUUUAGUCACAACAUUUAAAGGAACAGUAGAUAUAAUUUAGUCACAACAUUUAAAGGAACAAAAGAUAUAGACAGAGCAGAGACACUCUAAAGAGCCAACGACUUUGAAAGAUCCAAUAUAGCUUUCAUUUCAAGAUCUACAUCCUAGGUGAGGCAUAAGUAUAAUUAAAUUAGUCAAUAUCACCUGCCUAUACUGUGUAUAUUUUAAGAAACUUAUCAGCAGUAUACCUAUCUAUAUUAAGUGCCAUCUGAAACUUAAUCAUAGUAUUAACUCAAGAUGACACCAGCAAAAUAAUGAAUGGCCAUCAAGAACAAAGAUUCCAGUGAUAAGAUGACUUUUUUCACAUGCAACAAAAGAUGCUGAAAAUAAUCAUCUGAGUGGAUUUUCAUAUACAAAAAAGAAAUCAUAUAGAUUUCUGAUAGUCUUACCAACAUUAAGUUUCUAAUUGUUUCAUCUGUGUAGUAUUCGGGGUCUGUUUUCUGUAAAUCUAACAAGACCUCCAUGAUAGUUUUCUUCUUCCCUGCCACAACCUCUGCGGAAGGAAAAGAACCACUAGUCUUUAACUGACGAUGCUCUUCUAUUUCCUUUUUCAUAAAGUUAUCCCUCUUCUCCUGUACUUCCAUCAUCUUUUCCUCAACACUAUGCAACCCAAACCACCUCAUGAAUGGCAAGAAAUCCAAAAUAUUAGCCUUUGGAACAGUGGUUAAUGUAUCCUUUGAUAUCUCCUGGAAUAGCUUAGCUUCUUUCGAAAUCUCUACUUUCUCUCCAUAGUACCUUUUUCCUGCAAUCAUUCUUGAUAUCACAUUGAAGGUGAAGUUAAAAAGAGAUGAUUUCAUCUCUACAAUAUUUUCCGAACUUUCUAUGGAGACUCGAAAGAGUCUACGAAUCAGGUAGUUUAUUUCAUCAGAACGGAUGCUUGAUAGUGUCUGAAUUCUAUAGGAAGAUAGAACUUCAAGAGAGGAAAUUCUUCGAAGAUUUCUCCAGUGCUCUCCAUAGGAGGACCAGGCGAGGCUGGUAAAAUUAUACCCGAAAUACUUGCCACUGAGAAAAUCAGGGCGAUUAGCAAAGAUGAUAUCAUUUUUGGUAAAACAUUCUUCUGCUGCUGAAGGUGAUGAAACAAGGAGGACAGGCCGAGAGCCAAACUGAAGAAAGACUACUGGACCAUAACGAUUUGAAACUUUGAAUAGGGCCCUGUGGAAAGGUUUACCCAAUAAGUAGAGGUGGCCAAUGAAAGGCAGUGCUGGAAAUGGGCUUGGGGGAAGGUUUUUUAGCUUGUGAAGAAAAUGAUGGGUGAUGAUAUAAAGAACAAAGAACAGAACUGGGAAAUACAGAUAAAGACCGUCCAUGGAUUCAUUAAAAAGAAAUGAUGAAGAUGAUGAGUAUUGUAGAUUUGUAGUAUUAAGCAUGAUAAUUGUCUAGUUUUAUUAGUUUGAAUUAAGAUCUGUGCAGCUUAGACAACAAUACUAUUAUUAAAUCCUGAUUUUGUUUUCUAAAUUAAACAAGAAGUCUCUGCAGUCUAGUUAUUUGUUUAAUCCCUAAUAAUGUAGGUUAGUUGUAAUUUUUUAAAGAAAAGUUAUCAUAGUGAACGAACAAGAAGGAAUUAAAUACUACAAAGUAAACAUCCAUAAAGAGGGCCUUUGUAUUCAUUUAGGCAAUGGAUGAUUGAUGACGAAUGGCAAGACGCAAGUUCUGGCUGUACGCUAAUUUUGGUUCAUUUGUCCAGGCUAGACAACAUACGAUCUUUUGGAGCAACGGCCUCUACUUGCUUCUAAUCUUUUCUUUUGUAAGAUUAUUGUCCAGCGACAACUUGUGCUCACCUUGACUAUUUUACUAGGUACUUGCUACUCCCUCUGUCCAUUUUAAGUGAUUUUUUGGUCUCUUUUUUGUAGUCUACAAUAUUUGUUUUUUUUUUUCAGUUAUCAAUUAAAUUCUUCUUUCCAAAGUUGCUCAUGGAGUAAAGAGCUAGGAGUAGUUUGUUAUAUUUCUAAUAAGCAAAUUAAGUUUAAUGUGGUCAAUUUCAUUAUUAAUUAAUGCUAAAGGUGAAUUCCUUAAUCUAUACUAUAUUAAAA
rnacentral:lncRNA from 1 species